rnacentral:snRNA from 1 species
GUGCUCGCUUUGGCAGCACAUAUUCUAAAAUUGGAAUGAUAUAGAAAGGAUUAGCAUGGCCCCUGCACAAGAAUGAUACGCAAAUUUGCAAAGCGUUCCAUAUUUCU